rnacentral:miRNA from 1 species
GAGGUGUUUCAUAGGCGCUACA